GUAGGCAUCUUAAUUUUCAGCCUUGUAUUCUUUAAGGAGGGGCUCUAGGCUUCAGGGGUAUAUUGGUUGGAGCGUGAUAUCCACUGUAAACGGUGAUUAAUACCUCGUAUGCUGAGGAGUGAAAGACCGUAAGGUCGCCAAGGGAUGGGCUUGCGUCUGAUUAGCUAGUUGGGUGGGGUAAAGGCCUCCCAAGGCGAUGAUCAGUAGCUGGUCUGAGAGGACAAUCAGCCACACUGGGACUGAGACACGGCCCAGACUCCUACGGGAGGCAGCAGUGAGGAAUUUUCCGCGAUGGGCGAAAGCCUGACGGAGCAAUGCCGCGUGGAGGAGGAAGGCCUGUGGGUCGUAAACUCCUUUUCUCAGAGAAGAAGUUCUGACGGUAUCUGAGGAAUAAGCAUCGGCUAACUCUGUGCCAGCAGCCGCGGUAAUACAGGGGAUGCAAGCGUUAUCCGGAAUUAUUGGGCGUAAAGCGUCCUGAGGUGGCUUACCCAGUCGACUGUGAAAGCUCAAGGCUUAACCUUGAAACGGCAGUCGAAACUUGUAAGCUUGAGUACGGUAGGGGCAGAGGGAAUUCCGGGAGAGAGGUGAAAUUCGUAGAUUUCGGGGGAAGGCCAAAGCCAAAGCCCUUUGGUGGCCGAUUACUGACACUGACAGACAAAGCUAGGGGAGCGAAAGGGAUUAGAACCCCUGAGGCCUAGCCGAAACAAUG
rnacentral:rRNA from 1 species